AAGCCGGCCAUCCGCUGUCUGGCGCGCAAGGGCGGCGUGAAGCGCAUCUCGGGGCUCAUCUACGAGGAGACCCGCGGCAUGCUCAAGAUCUUCCUCGAGAACGUCAUCCGCGACGCCGUCACGUACACCGAGCACGCCCGCCGCAAGACCGUCACCGCCAUGGACGUCGUCUACGCGCUCAAGCGCCAGGGCCGCACCCUCUACGGAUUCGGCGGCUAG
rnacentral:rRNA from 1 species